UGCAAGUCGAACGGUAACAGGCCCGCAAGGGUGCUGACGAGUGGCGGACGGGUGAGGAAUACAUCGGAAUUUGCCCAGUCGUGGGGGAUAACGUAGGGAGACUUACGCUAAUACCGCAUACGACCUAACGGUGAAAGCGGGGGAUCAGCAAUGACCUCGCGCGGAUGGAUAAGCCGAUGUCGGAUUAGCUAGUUGGCGGGGUAAGAGCCCACCAAGGCGACGAUCCGUAGCUGGUCUGAGAGGAUGAUCAGCCACACUGGGACUGAGACACGGCCCAGACUCCUACGGGAGGCAGCAGUGGGGAAUAUUGGACAAUGGGGGCAACCCUGAUCCAGCAAUGCCGCGUGUGUGAAGAAGGCCUUCGGGUUGUAAAGCACUUUUAUCGGGAACGAAACGUGUCAGGUGAAUACCCUGGCAAACUGACGGUACCCGAGGAAUAAGCACCGGCUAACUUCGUGCCAGCAGCCGCGGUAAUACGAAGGGUGCAAGCGUUACUCGGAAUUACUGGGCGUAAAGGGUGCGUAGGUGGUCUUUUAAGUCUGUUGUGAAAUCCCUGGGCUCAACCUGGGAAUGGCAGUGGAUACUGGAAGGCUAGAGUGCGGUAGAGGGUAGUGGAAUUCCCGGUGUAGCAGUGAAAUGCGUAGAGAUCGGGAGGAACACCAGUGGCGAAGGGCGGCUACCUGGACCAGCACUGACACUGAG
rnacentral:rRNA from 1 species